AACAGUGGGGUGUUUUUCCUUUCUGGCUGGCUUGACAAGGGUACUCACAAUGUCACCCGUUUGCAGAAGACUGGAAUUCCGCUUUGGUUUUGCUGACAGUUGGGAAGAAUUUCCACCACUCCAACUGCCUGGAAAGAAAGUUGUGUAAUGGUUUAAGCAUCCUCAAGGUCAUGACAAGUCUUGCAAAUGUAAAAAUCCCUGAAACUGAGGACUGCUGAGGAAAUCCCAGGACUUUAUAUAAAAGAUUAGAUAACAGUUACUUCCUGGUCCAUGACGUCAUCACACCUCACCACUCCAAGCCAGCCUUGUGACACCAAGGAUGUUUUCUCAAUAAACUACAUGGCACUUGAGAG